UACAGAGGUCUCAAGCGUUGUUCGGAUUCAUUGGGCGUAAAGGGUGCGUAGGUGGCGGGGUUAGUCAGGUGUGAAAUCUCGGAGCUCAACUCCGAAACUGCACUUGAUACUGCCUUGCUUGAGUACUGGAGAGGAGAUUGGAAUUUACGGUGUAGCAGUGAAAUACGUAGAUAUCGUAAGGAAGACCAGUGGCGAAGGCGAAUCUCUGGACAGUUACUGACACUGAGGCACGAAGGCCAGGGGAGCAAACGGG
rnacentral:rRNA from 1 species